UCAUAAACCUGACAACAACGGAAAUCCUUUUUGUUUUGCAGCAACCUCAAAUAUACUGUCAUGCUGAGGUACGAAGCAUCUGCAGGCUAUGAAAUAGAUGCUUCGUACCUCAGCAUGACAGUAUCACAAAAAGAUUGAAGUGGAUGGCAGGGCUGCAG
rnacentral:sRNA from 1 species